UGGGGAAUUGUUCACAAUGGGCGCAAGCCUGAUGACGCAACGCCGCGUGGGGGAUGAAGGUCUUCGGAUCGUAAACCCCUGUCGAAUGGGACGAAAGACUCGCGAGUGAAUACUUCGCGAGCGUGACGGUACCGUUAAAGGAAGCCACGGCUAACUCUGUGCCAGCAGCCGCGGUAAUACAGAGGUGGCAAGCGUUGUUCGGAAUUACUGGGCGUAAAGGGCGCGUAGGCGGCCCUCUAAGUCAGACGUGAAAUCCCCCGGCUUAACCUGGGAACUGCGUCUGAUACUGGAGGGCUUGAGUAUGGGAGAGGGAUGUAGAAUUCCAGGUGUAGCGGUGAAAUGCGUAGAUAUCUGGAGGAAUACCGGUGGCGAAGGCGGCAUCCUGGACCAUUACUGACGCUGAGGCGCGAAAGCUAGGGGAGCAAACGGGAUUAGAUACCCCCGUAGUCCCUGAGCGGGCUGGCAAGGCGCAU
rnacentral:rRNA from 1 species